rnacentral:rRNA from 1 species
GACGAACGCUGGCGGCGCGCCUAACACAUGCAAGUCGAACGAGCGAGAGAGAGCUUGCUUUCUCGAGCGAGUGGCGAACGGGUGAGUAACGCGUGAGGAACCUGCCUCAAAGAGGGGGACAACAGUUGGAAACGACUGCUAAUACCGCAUAAGCCCACAGGUCGGCAUCGACCAGAGGGAAAAGGAGCAAUCCGCUUUGAGAUGGCCUCGCGUCCGAUUAGCUGGUUGGUGAGGUAACGGCCCACCAAGGCGACGAUCGGUAGCCGGACUGAGAGGGUGAACGGCCACAAGGGGACUGAGACACGGCCCUU